rnacentral:SRP_RNA from 1 species
GCUGGGCGUGGUGGUGCACACCUGUAAUCCCAGCUACUCAGGAGGCUGAGGCAGGAGAAUCGCUUUAACCCAGGAGGCAGAGGUUGCAGUGAGCCAAGAUGGCACCACUGCAUUCCAGCCUGGGCAACAGAGUGAGACUCUGUCUCAA